rnacentral:lncRNA from 1 species
AAACAUCCCCAAACCCUCCAAACCCGUUCCAUUUACAGCACCCCUCAUCCCUCUCCCUUCGUCUCUCUCAAGAGACCAAACACCCAAGAACACUAGCUAGCCGCCACCCCUCCCCUCGCCCGAAAACCUGGCGGCGCCGGCUUCUUUCGCCACCAAAUCAACACCACUGAACCUCCUAACUCCCCUCUCCACAAAUCCAUGACCCGUUUAGUUCGAAUCAUGAUGUAGCUCAUCGAAUCUUCAAUUGAAGAUUCGAGUAAAAUAUAAAACCAUCCCAACCGGCUCCAAACUAACCCAAACAUAUCCCUAGCCUCCCUCGUCACCAAACCAUACCUGGUUUGGUUCGAAUCUUACCCAAACUACUCGAACCCCAAUCUGAGCCCCAAGAACCCUAAAAAUUCAAGCCUGGUUUAAAUGUCCAAUUUGAGAGAUUUGAGUGUUCAAGGGAGCUUAGUCGAAGUGUUCUCAAUUGAGAACACUCGAUUAAGGUCCGUCACCUCAAAGGCUCAAGGUCCGAAAUUGACCCAAGAUGUUUGAUUUCUAAUUUUUUUCUUCUAAAGGUAUUCCUUCUUCUUUUUCUUCUAUUUUUCAUUGACUAAUAUCUGUUCAUUAGUUUAGUUUUGUUAUUUUUAUCUUUUCCAAUUUUUUGCCGAGUUCUCUUCUUCUCUAAAUCGAAGACCUUUUUUUUGGGUCCAUUUUUAUUCUGUUUGAUGUGUUUGUUACAGAAUACUUGUUCGAUUCGAUUAGUAUUGUCGAAUAAUUUGUUUCGUAUUUCCCCUGUUUUGUCCGAAUGCCAUGAGUCCACUAUUUGUGUGUCGAUUAUAUGUGUUGUAAUCGAUUAGAUAGAUGUCGUCGAUUAGUUGUAUAUGUUUGAUUUUUAGAUUAAUGUUGACAAUAGUAUUAUUGAUACUGUCUGAUUUUGUCCGAAUUAUUGUUUGCAUUAAAGUCUGAAUGGUUUACAGCUGAAUUUAGGUUUGAAUUAGUUAUAGGUGAUGAAAUGCAAAACCAGGGAUAGAAUAGAUCACAUGGGUCGUUUAAGGGGUAAUUUGGGAAUUAGGACACCUACUAAUUAAACUAGGGCUGCUAUUAGAUUAAGUGGAAACAUCUCUUAAUGGGAAUGACACUUAUUGCUGGUUUUAAGGGGCUGAAAGGUACACUAAGUGACAAAAUAAUCAGCACUAGUAUUAUAGGUUAAUUAAGAAAUGAAAAAGUAGAAUAUUAAGUGGAGAAUGCACUAAUUGAACGACUUAUUUAAGAGGCUAUGAAUAUGACAUUAAAGAUAGAGAUAGACAUUGAAGGAGGGAGUUUUGAGAAGUCUUAGAAAAUCAGAAAGUUGAGAAAAAUUUCUUUUCAGUCUAAGAGAGAUUCAAAAAGAAACAGAACAAAAACUUCACUGUUUUGAUAACUUCUUUCAAUCAGUUGUGAAAAUCAGAAAAGCUUAGUUCUUAUUUUGGAUAAUAGUCUUAAGGAUUUCAAAAGAAAAUAAUAACUGCUUCAUUACCAUCUCUUGAGUUUUUGUUUGCAAUCUAUAACUAAACUUCAAUUUUCCUAUAGCUCUUUAAAAAACCAAAAAAUAUAGUUUGACCUAGAAGCCCGGUCCAGUGAUACUGUUACAUUAAUUUUGAAAGCUGAAACAGUCAGAACUUCUUGUUUCUGUCCUAUAGUGGAGCAUUAGUGCACUUGAAGUGGUCUUUUGAUCUGUUUGAAGUUCAGUCUAUUGGUCGUGUGGGUUUUAAACUGGUGUUUGAGUUUUCUGCAUUCUAAGCCGUGUCCACUGCUCCAUCCGCUACUGUUUGGUUUUUUUGUUGCUCUUUGAAUUUCUAUUGCUGCUGAUCCUCACUUGCCUCACCUUCUGUUUUUCAGGUACAUGUCUUAUAACCCACCAGAUUAUGAAAAAUGGAAGAAAGUGAUGAUUGUUUUCUCAUAUAGAACUCUCUGUUGAAGUAUGAUUCAUUUCAGUAUGUUAUCCUAGCUUAGUUAGUUGAUUUGUAAAAAACUGGACAUUCACUACUGGAAUUAAUCCAUAGAUUUGAUGAUUGUUAGCCAUGUACUCAUAUGUUCUGUAUUAAUUUGAGUUCUUGAGACUAUCAAUUGGCUAGUGAUUCUCCAAAGAAUAUGUAGUAUUGUGUCUGCGUUUUCGAAUUUUAGUCCACGUCUGAUGUUCAUAUCCAGUUAGUAGUUUAGGUUGCACAUUUCAUGUUAGUUUACUUUCAAUAUUCAUAGUAUAGUUUUCAUAUCAAUUAAAGUACAGGAGGUGUUAAAAU